rnacentral:rRNA from 1 species
AUUGAACGCUGGCGGCAUGCCUUACACAUGCAAGUCGAACGGCAGCACGGGAGCUUGCUCCUGGUGGCGAGUGGCGAACGGGUGAGUAAUGCAUCGGAACGUACCCAGGAGUGGGGGAUAACUAUCCGAAAGGAUGGCUAAUACCGCAUAUUCUGUGAGCAGGAAAGCGGGGGAUCGCAAGACCUCGCGCUCUUGGAGCGGCCGAUGUCGGAUUAGCUAGUUGGUGAGGUAAAGGCUCACCAAGGCGACGAUCCGUAGCAGGUCUGAGAGGAUGAUCUGCCACACUGGGACUGAGACACGGCCCAGACUCCUACGGGAGGCAGCAGUGGGGAAUUUUGGACAAUGGGGGCAACCCUGAUCCAGCCAUGCCGCGUGAGUGAAGAAGGCCUUCGGGUUGUAAAGCUCUUUCGGCGGGGAAGAAAUGGCAACGGCUAAUAUCCGUUGUUGAUGACGGUACCCGCAUAAGAAGCACCGGCUAACUACGUGCCAGCAGCCGCAGUAAGAC